UACAGAGGUCUCAAGCGUUGUUCGGAUUCAUUGGGCGUAAAGGGUGCGUAGGCGGCGUGGUAAGUCGGGUGUGAAAUCUCGGAGCUUAACUCCGAAACUGCAUUCGAUACUGCCGUGCUUGAGGACUGGAGAGGAGACUGGAAUUUACGGUGUAGCGGUGAAAUGCGUAGAUAUCGUAAGGAAGACCAGUGGCGAAGGCGGGUCUCUGGACAGUGACUGACGCUGAGACGCGAAAAGCGUGGGGGAGCAAACAGG
rnacentral:rRNA from 1 species